UUUGUCUGUCUUUUGCUGUCUGUGUGUCUGCUAACAGGAAUACCGCUGAUAUCGAAACUCUGGGAAUAUCAUAUGGGGUGACCACAAUUAGAUGUAUUUUCAUCCACCCCCUAGAACUGACUCCAAAAUAUCGAUGUUUUUGUUUUCCAGUUCUCUCCAGGUGACUAUGAUGACUGCGGUCCAGUGAACUGGGAGCACGUUGACUGGUCCGCCUGUUUGGGAGCUUGUCUUGAAUGUUUUCGGUGGAUUUAUACGAACCUAUGGAGUGUACAUGAAUAUUGAACGGGCGGGGAUUCCAAACGGGGAGGAGAUGUGGAGAACAGCUCGGAGGCAUGGGGUCCAACCCUGAGGAGGUGUCCUGAGGCUGAGAGGAGCACAGCCCUCCUGUGGCGCUCUGGGGCACUCUUACUAAGAUGUCCCUCAGCAGUGGCCCUGCAGGCGGGAAAGGUGUGGACUCCAACGCGGUAGACACAUACGACAGUGGUGAUGAGUGGGAUAUCGGUGUGGGCAAUCUGAUAAUUGAUCUGGAUGCCGAUUUAGAGAAAGACAAACUAGAGAUGUCAAGCAGUAAGGAGGGAGGGGACAUGGCUGCUCCUCCCAGCGCUGUUGCCACUUUACCUGACAAUAUAAACUUUGUUAGUCCUGUAGCUGCCAUGCAGGGCAAAGAGAGCAAAUCCAAAUCAAAGCGUAGUAAAAACUCUAAGGAAAACAUUAAGGCCCCAGUCUCAGAUGGAGGUAAGAAGGAGGUUCAGGGAAGGGUCCCUGUGGAACUACCACCCCAGAACCCAAACUCCACCCCAGCUAAGGGAACUGACAAGUCUAGUAAACCCUCCCGUACCCCCCCAGCUGUGAAAAAAGACAAGGAUGGAUUGUCUGGAAAAACAAAGAAGGAGAAAAUUGAAGUUUCAGCCACAGGAGUGGUCAACACUGAGAAAGAGUCUGGGGUUCUUAUCCUGACCGGGACACCUCGCAGCAGCCCAUUUGAGGGCCAACAAACACCAGAGUUAGCCUCAGUCGAGCAGCUUGGGAAUAUGGCACUAGACAUUGCAGGGAUAGGCCAGACUGUUGCAAUGACAACAGAGCAGGAGGAGGUGGAGAACAGUGACUGCCGAAAUCUGAAGAAAGUUGUCAGUGGUGAGAAGGCAGAAUCUCAAGUCUCUACCGCUGCUCCUCCUUCUCUCCACCUCCUCGGCCCCAUCUCCAACAGCAGCAACAUCUCUUCUCCCUGUGAGCAAAUCAUGGUUCGCACACGCUCCGUUGCGGUUAACACAGCUGAUGCUGCAUUGGCAACCGAGCCAGAGUGUCUAGGACCCUGUGAGCCAGGCACCAGUGUCAACCUGGAAGGCAUUGUGUGGCAGGAGACUGAGGACGGAAUGCUUGUUGUCAAUGUCACCUGGAGGAACAAGACAUAUGUGGGAACACUGCUGGAUUGCACAAGACAUGACUGGGCCCCACCAAGGUUCUGUGAUUCUCCGACCAGUGACGUGGAGAUGCGAAGUGGUCGGGGUCGGGGAAAGAGGAUGCGUCCUAGCAGCAACACAAUGCUGAAUGACAACAGCAACUCCUCAGACAAUAAAGGUAACAGUAGCAGCAGCUGCAGCAAGACACGUGGUUCUGCUACAAACAGCAAAGGACGACGGGGCAGCCAGACAACUGGGUGUGCUGAAGAUGCUAAGGCUAGCCCAUCUUCUGCCAAGAGGAAGACUAAACCUUCUUCUGAUAUGGAGCCUACCUCCAGCUCUGAAGAUACCAAAGGUUCAAAGCGCAUGAGAACCAACUCAACUGGCACUGGGCUCCCUCUUGCUGGAGGUAAAACGGACCCCCUUCCUCCUCCACAGCUGGACCGGACGUGCCCCUCCCCUGUACUCAUUGACUGUCCCCAUCCCAAUUGUAACAAGAAGUACAAGCAUAUCAAUGGGCUAAAGUACCACCAAGCACGUGCCCAUAAUGACCAUGACAUCCGAUUAGACCAGGAUGGAGACAGUGAAUAUGGGGAUGAUGCUGCCGUCCAUCCUGACCCAUCUUCCUGCAAUGGUACCUCCUUCUCCCCCGCCCGCUCCACUACACCUAAGAUACGGGGCUUUGAUGCUCCUUCUCCCUCAUCAGGCAAGCUAGGGUCAAAGGGAAGGAAGAAGACAGUGGACACUGAACCUGAGAUAACAGAUGGUGGUGAGGAGGGGGCAUGUUUGACCGAUGAGGCCAGCAAUGAUGGGUUGGAUGAUAGAAAGGGAAAAAAAUUUGUAUCAGGAGGUAAAUCUGAUAAGCUGAUGCAGAAAAGCUUGAAGCUAGCUCGCCCUGUGGCCCACAGUGCCCCUGGAGUCCCGUCACCGUAUUCAUUGCAGGGAUCCUCACCUGCUUUAGGUUCAGUGGUACAGUCUAUACCCAAGAGCCCCCAGAUGAAGAACAUCCAGCCUAAACCCCCUCCACUCACUGACCUCGCUUCCAACCCUGCCCUUGCCAAGGACAAGAAGAAAAAAGACAAGAAGAAGAGAGAGGGAGGAAAGGAAGGGGAAUGUACAAAGGCAAUGGGUAAGGCAGGAAAGUCAGAGGAGGGGAAGAGCCCCUACUCUGAGUCGUCGGAUACUUUUCUUAAUGGCUCCACAGAAGUUCAUCAGAGCCGGCUGGCAAGCAUUAAGGCUGAGGCUGACAAGGUAUACAGCUUCUCGGACAAUGCUCCCAGCCCGUCCAUAGGUGUGGCUAGCAGGAUGGAAGCUGGUCUUGCACCCCCCCUCCACCUCAACCAGAAUGGUGCCGACAACACAUCAGUGAAGACCAGCAGCCCAGCAUACUCUGACAUCUCUGAUGUGGGGGAGGACGGAGAGGGCAAGGCAGAGGGUGUGAAGGUCAAGUCAGAACCUGACCAAGGACCUCGGGAAGGUGCCAAGAAGGCGCUGUUUCCCCCUCAAACUCCAUGUAAGGAAUUGCCAUACUACCCCAACUACGACUCUUACUACUCCCCCAACUAUCCCAACACCAGCCCCGGAGCACCUGCUGCCCUGCCUAAUGUGGAAGGAGUGCAGGUGAAGAAGGAGGAGGAGCUAGAGGUGGGAGAGGAGGGCAAAUUGAAAGUGGAGCCUCAGGAGGACAGGAAGGCGGAGUCUGGGGCUCAGCAGCCAUCAGUCAUUCAACAGCGGUCCAACAUAUACUCCCAGCCUUUAUACUACAAUCAAUACUAUGUUCCUGCUUACUCCUACUCCCCUGAUCAGGCCUACCAUGCCCACCUUUUGACCUCUAACCCCACCUACCGCCAGCAGUAUGAGGAGAGGCAGCGGCAGGCUGAAAAGAAGACCGAGGGCAAAGAGCGUGAGGCUUUUGGGAGAGAUGAGUGGAAGCAGAAAGCUACAGUGACCCCCACUCUGUCCAGACCCCCCAGUCUCACUGACCUGGGUUCUAAAGGAAUGCUAAACCUAACCAAGGUGAAGGAGCCCACAGCUGUUUCAGAACAAGCCAAGUCGGUUAUCAUGGCAAAGGGAGAAGACCCCAAGUCCCUCAGUGCCCAAGCUGAGGGCCCGAAGAUCAAGCUGAGUGAAGCAGGGCAUCAUGGAAAGGAGGAGGCUAAGUCAGGGAUGGAAUCAGGCAGACCAGCUGGUGUAGAAUCUACCUUGUGGUACAGACAGCACGAGUCGGAUUCACGGUUGUGGCCCUACGUCUACCCAAGUAAAUACUCAGAAGCUCCGAAACUACAGGAAGAGGAAAGGUGGAAGGACGAGAGGGAGCGAGAACGAGAUAGGAAAGUGAAAGAAGAGAGGUUGCGACCAAAGGAGGGACUCCAGAAAGAGGAGGUGAAGGAUGUCCAAGAGGGCAGAACACAGCUGCCCCUGGAGGACCACCGAGGGGAAGGGAAGGAGUCACGACCCCCACACAUACAGUUUCCAUCUUCUUUAGCCCAGCACCAGGGAUACAUGCAAUACAUGCAUGGACCUUAUGCCUACAGCCAGGGCUAUGAGCCUGGUCACCCUGGGUACAGAGGCAUGCCCUCGGUUAUGAUGCAAAAUUAUCCAGGCUCAUACCUAUCGACGGGUUACUCCUUUCCCUCAUAUGGAGGGAAGGUGGCAGUAGGUGAGGAUGGGGAGAAACCCUCUAGGUCCAGUCCAACGAUGAAACCGGCCAGUGAGGCCAAAGCUCUGGACUUGCUACAGCAGCACGCCAACCAGUACAAAAGCAAAUCCCCAUCCGCCCAAGACAACAAGACCCCACAUGACCGAGAGAGAGAGCGAGACAGGGAGAGAGAAGGCGACCGGCCGCAAUCCUCACCCUCGCAGCGCAUCCUGCCUACUCAUCAUCAUUUGGGAUACCCUUUGCUGUCAGGACAGUAUGAUCUGUCCUACACAUCAGGUACGGAUGAGACAUGAAAUGCAAUUUAGGAAAUCAAGUCACAUUUACAGGCCUCUCCACCUCAGCCAUUGUUGCCAGUCAGCAAGCAUCUUCCCCAUCUAUGUACCCUCCUGCACGAAGGUGAGAAUGGCACACCUGAUUGGCUGACCUCCAUCCCUCUAAAAGUCAUGUGAAUGGGUCACAUGAGAAAGCAUUUCUGUUGGAACAUCAGCUCAAUGGUGUUAUGUGUAUGUUUGAUAUCUCUGCGUGGAUAUCCAGUUGCCCCUUGCUGGACUGAACGGGACCAAAAGGAUCAAAGUCCUCAUUCUGCUGGUCCUGCUGAUUCCAGGCGGUACCACUGGUGCUCAAGCGUGUGGGGAGCAGAGGUUUUGACUCAAAGACUGAGGACAAAGUGGACCUGGUGGGUGAAGACACAAGGAGAUGCUGAUGGUUGUUGGUGCUGGUGGGACAUAGGGUGGGUCUGACAGUUCUGAGCUGCUGUGGCAGGGAGGGUGGGGCUUUCAGAGUCACGCUGGCUUUUUGUAGUAAGGAAAAGACGGUCACUUCCUGUCUUUUGGAGCUAAGCCUUCAAUUCUGUGUCAUUUUAUGGCACACAGUCGUCUUUCAGUUUUUUUUUUUUUUAUUUCAUUCUCAUAUUUCAGAAACGACUUCUGACCCUGAGACUUAAUCUACAGUGGCCUCUGACCUCUCUGAGAACCAGUGGUUGGGCAUCAUCACACGUUCACCUGGAUGUAUCUCCGCUUUAUGGAAAAUAAAAUGAAUACUGUGCACAGAGAAGGACGGACCAACCAACAGGAAGCGUUCGGAGUGAUGCUGUAUCCUCAUCUGACUGACUCAGAGACAGGGAGUCAGGUGGCAUCAGGCUUCUCCACCUCAGUUUGUAGCUGUUAUGUACCCUGUGUAUAUGUGUAUGUGUGUGUGUGUGUGAGAGAGAGUGUGUAAAUACUGUACAGAGGAAUUAUUUUAAAGAGCCUGUUGGAUGAUGUUGAAUUUCCUACUCUUUGUCUGGUAGCCCUCCCCUCUGUUUUUCUACUGUUGCUGAUCUGAUAUUAAACCUGUAGCUGGUGGAACAAUG